GGAUUAGAUACCCUGGUAGUCCACGCCGUAAACGAUGGACACUUGGUGUUGGAGGUAUUGACCCCUUCAGUGCCGGAGCUAACGCGUUAAGUGUCCCGCCUGGGAAGUACGGUCGCAAGAUUAAAACUCAAAGAAAUUGACGGGGGCCCGCACAAGCGGUGGAGCAUGUGGUUUAAUUCGAUGCAACGCGCAAAACCUUACCUAGGCUUGUAUGUAAUGGAAGGUUACUAGAAAUAGUGCCGCUCUUCGGAGCUGUUACACAGGUGCUGCAUGGCUGUCGUCAGCUCGUGCCG
rnacentral:rRNA from 1 species